GCCGGGCAUGGUGGCACAUGCCUGUAAUCCCAGGUACUUGGGAGGCUGAGGCAGGAGAAUCGCUUGAACCCAAGAGGCAGAGGUUGCAGUGAGCUGAGAUUGCGCCACUGCACUCCAGCCUGGGUGACAGAGCGAGACUCUGUCUCCA
rnacentral:SRP_RNA from 2 species